AGCGGUGUGGUUUAGAGGCAAGAACCCGGGCUUGGGAGUCAGAGGACUUGGGUUCUAAUCCCACCUCCGCCA
rnacentral:tRNA from 1 species